GGACGAACGCUGGCGGCGUGCUUAACACAUGCAAGUCGAGCGGAAAGGCCCUUCGGGGUACUCGAGCGGCGAACGGGUGAGUAACACGUGAGUAACCUGCCCCAGACUUUGGGAUAACCCUCGGAAACGGGGGCUAAUACCGAAUACGACUGCUGAUCGCAUGGUUGGUGGUGGAAAGUUUUUCGGUCUGGGAUGGACUCGCGGCCUAUCAGCUUGUUGGUGGGGUAAUGGCCUACCAAGGCGACGACGGGUAGCCGGCCUGAGAGGGCGACCGGCCACACUGGGACUGAGACACGGCCCAGACUCCUACGGGAGGCAGCAGUGGGGAAUAUUGCACAAUGGGCGGAAGCCUGAUGCAGCGACGCCGCGUGAGGGAUGACGGCCUUCGGGUUGUAAACCUCUUUCAGCAGGGACGAAGCGCAAGUGACGGUACCUGCAGAAGAAGCGCCGGCCAACUACGUGCCAGCAGCCGCGGUAAGACGUAGGGCGCGAGCGUUGUCCGGAUUUAUUGGGCGUAAAGAGCUCGUAGGCGGCUUGUCGCGUCGAAUGUGAAAACCCGAGGCUCAACCUCGGGCUUGCAUUCGAUACGGGCAGGCUAGAGUUCGGUAGGGGAGACUGGAAUUCCUGGUGUAGCGGUGAAAUGCGCAGAUAUCAGGAGGAACACCGGUGGCGAAGGCGGGUCUCUGGGCCGAUACUGACGCUGAGGAGCGAAAGCGUGGGGAGCGAACAGGAUUAGAUACCCUGGUAGUCCACGCUGUAAACGUUGGGCGCUAGGUGUGGGGACCCUCUCCGGGUUUCUGCGCCGCAGCUAACG
rnacentral:rRNA from 1 species